rnacentral:rRNA from 1 species
CAGCCGCCGCGGUAAUACGUAGGUGGCAAGCGUUGUCCGGAAUUAUUGGGCGUAAAGGGCUCGCAGGCGGUCUCUUAAGUCUGAUGUGAAAGCCCCCGGCUCAACCGGGGAGGGUCAUUGGAAACUGGGAAACUUGAGUGCAGAAGAGGAGAGUGGAAUUCCACGUGUAGCGGUGAAAUGCGUAGAGAUGUGGAGGAACACCAGUGGCGAAGGCGACUCUCUGGUCUGUAACUGACGCUGAGAGACAAAAGCUAGGGGAGCAAAUGGGAUUAGAUACCCCUGUAGUCCCUGUCUCUUAUAC